CGGGUGCACUGAUCCAGCCGGGCCUUUCCCUCUGUGGAACCCCAUGGCCUUCACUGGCUGUGGCGGGGAAACAGGACUUUUACUUUGAAAAAAUUAGAGUGCUCCAGGCAGGCCUAUGCUCGAAUACAUUAGCAUGGAAUAAUAGAAUAGGACGUGUGGUUCUAUUUUGUUGGUUUCUAGGACCGCCGUAAUGAUUAAUAGGGACAGUCGGGGGCAUCAGUAUUCAAUUGUCAGAGGUGAAAUUCUUGGAUCUAUUGAAGACUAACUACUGCGAAAGCAUUUGCCAAGGAUGUUUUCAUUGAUAAGGAACGAAAGUUAGGGGAUCGAAGACGAUCAGAUACCGUCGUAGUCUUAACUAUAAACUAUGCCGACUAGGGAUCGGACGAUGUUAUUCUUUGACGCGUUCGGCACCUUUCGAGAAAUCAAAGUGCUUGGGCUCCAGGGGGAGUAUGGUCGCAAGGCUGAAACUUAAAGAAAUUGACGGAAGGGCACCACCAGGGGUGGAACCUGCGGCUUAAUUUGACUCAACACGGGGAAACUCACCAGGUCCAGACACAGUGAGGAUUGACAGAUUGAGGGCUCUUUCUUGAUUCUGUGGGUGGUGGUGCAUGGCCGUUCUUAGUUGGUGGAGUGAUUUGUCUGCUUAAUUGCGAUAACGAACGAGACCUUAACCUGCUAAAUAGCCCGUACUGCUUUGGCAGUUCGCCGGCUUCUUAGAGGGACUAUCGG
rnacentral:rRNA from 1 species